CGGGACGCUCCCAUUGGCUCUCGCUGCUGCCCGUCGGCGGCGCGUCACGGGGUGGAGGCGGUGGGGGACCGUGACGCUUUCCGCGCUGGGUCGGGAGGAAGGCUGUCCGCGGAGGUCCUGCUCGGUGCGCGCUGCCACCGGCGGGGCCAGAGGCGCGGCCGCGCGUGGUUCGGACGCGGUAGCGUUUGGAGCGUCAGUAGUGUUACCGCUGGGUGGUCGGAAGUUUCUGUUGAGAAAUGACUGAGCUAUAUUGGCAAAACAUAUUCACUGAGAAAACUGAAAAGUCUAUGUCAGAUGUUUGAAGAAGCAAAAUGGAGGGCUGUGAAUGGCGCCUUAUGCAGAGCAAAAUCAGGCUGCGGAACCUUUUCAGCUUGACUACAAACCUGUGAAUGUUGAGGAUGAUGUUGAAGCAGUGAUUAUUGACAAUUCUGAAAUACAAGAUGGAGAAAAUGGUCUGUCCACACGAAGCUGCAUGUCAAUGGAACAAAAUUUUGAAGUAAACAGUAAUGUUCACCAUGUGGCUCAACUUACAUAUGGUAAUUGCGCUUCAUUUUCGUUGGUGAUCUAAUAGUUUGUAGCUAAUUUUAAUGCUGUAUUUUCAGUGCUUUUGUUGUUAUUGUGUCUUUGUUGAGUAACCCAUCUUUAAAACGUGUUUUAUUUGAAAGCUGCUUCAUAAAAAUUGUUUGGCAAUGCAUUUAAAAAUAAGAGGCCUUUAAAGUUAUUACUUCAGAGAUCCUUAUUAACAGCUAUCCCACUGAAAUAUUUCUCUGUUUAAAGAAAGACUUUCUGCUGUGUACCAAGGAAUGAAUUAGCUAAUGAUUAGCACUUAGGGAUUUGGAAAGCAAGUGACAGGGAAAAACGUAAUGUAGAAUAUGAGGCUUCUAGGUUAACAGUCAAGAGAAGCAUUGCUGAUACUUAUGUACAGUGGUAGUGAGAUGAUUAUUCAGAGUGGUAAAAUACUAGCUCUGAGUAGCCUUUGAUUUUUUUUUUUAAUUAAUUGUUGUUAUUUUAGCAUCUAAAAUCAAAGGUUGUCAGAAGAGUUGUCCAGUUUUCCAUUGGCUCAAGCAAAACUCAAUCAUAGCUCUUCAGAUUGUGUCUUGAGUCUGGUAGCAGUAUUGCUAAGUUAGCAAAGGAUAUGACUGUAGUUAAGUGAUGGUAUUUGCUACUUUUUUUUUUUUUCCCAAGCCUGUUGAGUUAAUAGAAGUUCUUAUCACUAUUUCUCUUCAGCAGAAUCCCACACAUCUUAGUUUCCCAGUGUUAUUAGGUGAUUUUUGGAAAGUUUUAAGUUCUUAGUCUUCUGUUUGACAGUACAGUUUGCUGUAAAUUUUUGUGCAUCUAUGAUGAAGAACAUGUUUGGAAGAUGGUUUGAAUGGCUCACUCUGUUUUUAUCUCUGAUUAAAAACAAAUAAAAAAAUAAAAAUUCCUGACCA
rnacentral:lncRNA from 1 species